rnacentral:rRNA from 1 species
UGGGGAAUAUUGGUCAAUGGGCGCAAGCCUGAACCAGCGACGCCGCGUGAGUGAUGAAGGCCUUCGGGUUGUAAAGCUCUGUGGAGAGGGACAAAAACAGUUCGGUCGAAUAGGCCGAGCUCUUGACGGUACCUCUUUAGCAAGCACCGGCUAACUCUGUGCCAGCAGCCGCGGUAAGACAGAGGGUGCAAACGUUGCUCGGAAUUACUGGGCGUAAAGCGCGUGUAGGCUGACCGGGAAGUCAGGUGUGAAAUCCCUGGGCUCAACCCAGGAACUGCAUUUGAAACUUCCGGUCUUGAGGGAUGGAGAGGGAAGCGGAAUUCCUGGUGUAGAGGUGAAAUUCGUAGAUAUCAGGAGGAACACCGGUGGCGAAGGCGGCUUCCUGGACAUCUUCUGACGCUGAGACGCGAAAGCGUGGGGAGCAAACAG